rnacentral:rRNA from 1 species
UACGUAGGUGGCAAGCGUUGUCCGGAAUUACUGGGUGUAGAGCGCGUGUAGGCGGGAGGCCAAGUCUGCUGUGAAAUCGCUCGGCUCAACUGGGCGGGGUCGGUGGAAACUGGUCACCUGGAGGACGGUAGAGGCGAGUGGAAUUCCCGGUGUAGUGGUGAAAUGCGUAGAGAUCGGGAGGAACACCAGUGGCGAAGGCGGCUCGCUGGGCCGGUCCUGACGCUGAGACGCGAAGGCGUGGGGAGCGAACGGG